rnacentral:rRNA from 1 species
AUUGAACGCUGGCGGCAUGCUUUACACAUGCCAGUCGAACGGUAACAGGCCGCAAGGUGCUGACGAGUGGCGAACGGGUGAGUAAUGCAUCGGAACGUGCCCAGUCGUGGGGGAUAACUACUCGAAAGAGUAGCUAAUACCGCAUACGAUCUAUGGAUGAAAGCGGGGGACCGUAAGGCCUCGCGCGAUUGGAGCGGCCGAUGUCAGAUUAGGUAGUUGGUGGGGUAAAGGCUCACCAAGCCAACGAUCUGUAGCUGGUCUGAGAGGACAACCAGCCACACUGGGACUGAGACACGGCCCAGACUCCUACGGGAGGCAGCAGUGGGGAAUUUUGGACAAUGGGCGCAAGCCUGAUCCAGCAAUGCCGCGUGCAGGAAGAAGGCCUUCGGGUUGUAAACUGCUGUUGUACGGAACGAAACGGCUCUGGUUAAUACCCGGGGCUAAUGACGGUACCGUAAGAAUAAGCACCGGCUAACUACGUG